UACCUUUUUCUAUCAUCUCCUCACCGUCGUCUCUCCUCGGCCGCUCCCCCGCCCACCCCCCCCCCCGGCGCCGGCGCCCCGGCCCCGGGGGCACCCUCCUCUCUCUCUCUUCUCCUUCUUCUCUCUCUAUCUCUGUGCCCCCAUCUUGCCCUCUCCCUUCCUUUUGGGAUCUCUUUUCUCGUUUAAACCCUAUUGCCGAUGUCUUCUUGAGGCCCCAAUCUUGCUUCGCUGGGCUCGAGAUCGCAUCGUAGUGUUCGACUCAGAGGACGGUUUGAUCUCCAGAAGCCGCAGAUCUGUCUCGCUCCUCCGCGCGGCCCUUCCCGGAUCGUCUGCUCCCUCUCGGCUUCGGUCAUUUUAUCUGUCGCUCUUGGAUAGGCCAGCGAUGAGUUUGUAAUUGUUUCCUUGAGAGAUUUCUCCCUGCCACUUGUUACAAGGAGAUUAGUGUGGCUUCCAGAAAUUGAUGCAUCGUGAAGGCUGAAUUGAGUUGACAAGCCAGCAUGACAUGGCCCAAAGGAACGUCGUUUCAUCUGCACUAAACGGGCAACCUCGAAACAUUUCCAGGGAUAAUGGACAGUGCCGACUCUUAACAUCCAGGCGACUGGAGCAACAGAUGGUGGUUCAGGUAGAGAGCAGAGCAUCGCAGAGGGUUGCAGACAACUCAUGAUGAAAGAGUCUGCUUGACGACCCACCACAUUAUUUUUGAGCAAGGUCCUUUUUCUCCUGACCACCACUACAGGAAUCCGGAGCGAGAAAUACUAGACGAUUCUCAUUUACCUGUACGCCAGCAGAAAGCAUUGGGGAUUAAAAGAAAACAUGUAGUUCUCCGCGUCCACCCUAAUGUCCAUAUCAAUCUUGUGAUCUAAAUA